AAAUUGAAGAGUUUGAUCAUGGCUCAGAUUGAACGCUGGCGGCAGGCCUAACACAUGCAAGUCGAGCGGUAGCACAGAGAGCUUGCUCUCGGGUGACGAGCGGCGGACGGGUGAGUAAUGUCUGGGAAACUGCCUGAUGGAGGGGGAUAACUACUGGAAACGGUAGCUAAUACCGCAUAACGUCGCAAGACCAAAGUGGGGGACCUUCGGGCCUCAUGCCAUCAGAUGUGCCCAGAUGGGAUUAGCUAGUAGGUGGGGUAACGGCUCACCUAGGCGACGAUCCCUAGCUGGUCUGAGAGGAUGACCAGCCACACUGGAACUGAGACACGGUCCAGACUCCUACGGGAGGCAGCAGUGGGGAAUAUUGCACAAUGGGCGCAAGCCUGAUGCAGCCAUGCCGCGUGUGUGAAGAAGGCCUUCGGGUUGUAAAGCACUUUCAGCGGGGAGGAAGGCGUUAAGGUUAAUAACCUUGGCGAUUGACGUUACCCGCAGAAGAAGCACCGGCUAACUCCGUGCCAGCAGCCGCGGUAAUACGGAGGGUGCAAGCGUUAAUCGGAAUUACUGGGCGUAAAGCGCACGCAGGCGGUCUGUCAAGUCGGAUGUGAAAUCCCCGGGCUCAACCUGGGAACUGCAUUCGAAACUGGCAGGCUAGAGUCUUGUAGAGGGGGGUAGAAUUCCAGGUGUAGCGGUGAAAUGCGUAGAGAUCUGGAGGAAUACCGGUGGCGAAGGCGGCCCCCUGGACAAAGACUGACGCUCAGGUGCGAAAGCGUGGGGAGCAAACAGGAUUAGAUACCCUGGUAGUCCACGCCGUAAACGAUGUCGAUUUGGAGGUUGUGCCCUUGAGGCGUGGCUUCCGGAGCUAACGCGUUAAAUCGACCGCCUGGGGAGUACGGCCGCAAGGUUAAAACUCAAAUGAAUUGACGGGGGCCCGCACAAGCGGUGGAGCAUGUGGUUUAAUUCGAUGCAACGCGAAGAACCUUACCUGGUCUUGACAUCCACAGAACUUUCCAGAGAUGGAUUGGUGCCUUCGGGAACUGUGAGACAGGUGCUGCAUGGCUGUCGUCAGCUCGUGUUGUGAAAUGUUGGGUUAAGUCCCGCAACGAGCGCAACCCUUAUCCUUUGUUGCCAGCGGUUCGGCCGGGAACUCAAAGGAGACUGCCAGUGAUAAACUGGAGGAAGGUGGGGAUGACGUCAAGUCAUCAUGGCCCUUACGACCAGGGCUACACACGUGCUACAAUGGCAUAUACAAAGAGAAGCGACCUCGCGAGAGCAAGCGGACCUCAUAAAGUAUGUCGUAGUCCGGAUUGGAGUCUGCAACUCGACUCCAUGAAGUCGGAAUCGCUAGUAAUCGUAGAUCAGAAUGCUACGGUGAAUACGUUCCCGGGCCUUGUACACACCGCCCGUCACACCAUGGGAGUGGGUUGCAAAAGAAGUAGGUAGCUUAACCUUCGGGAGGGCGCUUACCACUUUGUGAUUCAUGACUGGGGUGAAGUCGUAACAAGGUAACCGUAGGGGAACCUGCGGUUGGAUCACCUCCUUACCUUAAAGAA
rnacentral:rRNA from 2 species